rnacentral:rRNA from 1 species
AUGCCGCCGCCGCGUGUCCUCCUGAUCGUCCUCCUCCUGCUCUCCUCCGCGCGCAGCAGCCUGGAGGCGGAGGAGUCGGCGAGGGCCCUCAGCGUCGGCAAUGAGCUGGUGGGCGAGACGAUGCCGCUCCGCCACGGCCGGAGGGUCUACAGGCUCGCCGGGCUGCGGCCGCCCGCGUGGUACGAAGUCAAGAUCUCCUACCCGGCCUCCAUACCGUCCAGCUUUUCGAUUCGGCUCGUGAGCGAUCCUGAUGCUGUGGAGGACCAGGGGAGUAAGAACAGGAGGCUGCUCAACACGGAGAAGAUCAUUUUCCAGGCUGAGAGCACCAAGCCGGUUUAUGUUCUUGUCACGGUGGAGCCUGAGGGUGUGGUUGCGAAGCCAAAUGUAUCGGAGAGAGAGCUUGCCCUGUUCAACAUUGUGUGUGAUGAACUUUUGCUGGGGAUCCCUUGCUUUGCCUGGUGGGUUGGAAUUGCAGCAGUGAUUUGCCUUGUGUUGGCAUCACUAGCACCGUAUUUCCUCCCGAUCCACAAGCUACUUAACUACGAAACUGCAAAGUCGACCGACGCCGAUGCAGCCAAGCUAUCGUGA